UGGGGAAUCUUGCACAAUGGGGGAAACCCUGAUGCAGCGACGCCGCGUGAACGAUGAAGCCCUUCGGGGUGUAAAGUUCUUUCGACAGGAACGAUAAUGACGGUACCUGGAGAAGAAGCUGCGGCUAACUACGUGCCAGCAGCCGCGGUAAUACGUAGGCAGCGAGCGUUGUUCGGAGUUACUGGGCGUAAAGAGUGCGUAGGCGGCGAGCCAAGUUUGGUGUGAAAUCUCCCGGCUUAACCGGGAGGGUGCGCCGAAAACUGGUUGGCUGGAGUAUGGGAGAGGACAGCGGAAUUCCUGGUGUUGCGGUGAAAUGCGUAGAUAUCAGGAGUAACACCUGCGGUGUAGACAGCUUUCUGGACCAAAACUGACGCUGAGGCACGAAAGCGUGGGUAGCAAACA
rnacentral:rRNA from 1 species